UAAAUGUCACACUUUUUAAUAAUAAAAAAAGGAAAGUAUUAUCAUAUUAUUACAUCCUCCAAACACCAACUUGUACUACAGUAUUCAUGACAUCAUUAUAUGGAAGACAUUGUAGAUAAAUGAAGAAAACUGCACCUUUAGUUACAUUCUAAGACGUUCACAGAAUGAGGUAGAUGUCUAGGAACAAAAUAACUGACAGAUGUCUUGCUGGUGGCUUUGUUUUUAUUAUUUUACCCAUAAAAAGUAAAUGAAACCAUUUUUAUAUAUCCAUAUUUAUACCAAUGACUUUCAUGACAAACAUGUAAAACAAUGGCCUGCAUUUCAAUUUAAUACGUAACUUUUGAAACACGCAAACGUUUUCAAAAAGUUUGAUUUAGAUCUGUAGUUUUAAAUAAGAAGGGUCAAGUACGAAGCAUGCACUACGGAUGGAAACACUAUGCAUGUAAUUUAAUUUUUUUUUAAAAUAAAUGGACCUAGCUUUGUGCAUUGGUGCUCAGACAUCUUGGAACAGGAAGUGGCCAUCUCCAAACUGUUUACACAAAGAUGGGAGCAUGAACUUGCCCAAAAGUGUUGCACGAAAAACAACGGCAUUUCUUUCAUAGUGAAGACAUUCUAAAUAUUUUAAGCGUAUCUAAGGAGGUUAAACAUUCAUUGUUGUUUUGCUUUGUUUUACGGAGCAGACAAUGAGAGGGUUUUUUUGCUAACCUUAUUGGUCUGGUCAUAAGAUGUUGCAGAACCCCAAAUUUCAAGUCUAAUUCAAGUAUUUUUUUGAAUGCCAAAGCCUGCCUGAGUGUAGUUGCUGCCUAUACCCGUCCCCUUAAUGUGUGAUCAUCUCAAACUGUUUGCAGUAAAUCUUGGCAAUGUGGAGGAAUGGAAAACAGAGAGAAUUAUAAAUAUGUAGCUGAAAGAGUUGUUAUUAUGGCGAUAAGGACAGGAAUCUCGGAGGAAUUCUUCAGAGGCCAUGCAGAAACAAUGCCACAAAGACAUUUCUGAAUGGCCAAUGAAUGCGAUUGGUCUAAAGGUGGGCUACGGUUGCCGUUUCUCAAAGAGAACAACUGGUUGUCUUCUGCUGACAACAAAAUGCGCUCAGGACUAUAUUUAAACUGGAAUAGGUUUAAAAAAAAACCUUCCAGGAAGACAGUACAGCCAACACACUGUCGCUAUUCAUCUACACCUCUCCCGGCCGAACAGCUGGGUGCGCAGACACCUCCUUCCCCCUGCUGCUUUGACAAGGUUGUCGUGUGCCGAUAGCGGGCAACUAACUUCUGCAACCUCUCAGCUUCUAAAUCCAGAGCGGAUUCCUCUUGCCCGUCUCGCAGCCGCUCGCUCUCCAGCGAGGGAGAGAAACCCGAUUGGCUGCUGGGAGUCCUCCGUCUUCCACAAAUGGAGAUCUGAACGGUUUCGAGGGAUAAUCAUCGUAAUGGCUCGAGUGUUUCCCCCUCGAGUAUGUGUGAACAGUGAGGCCAGCCAUCUGCUGGCAGGUUGGCACGAUGAUGGAGUACUAUAUGUGUAGGCGAAGAGGAGGAGAGGGGCAUUCAGGAUGAGCAUGGUAAACACGCAGGAGACAGCCAACAGCGGGCUCACUUCAUUUUUACCCAGGGUCCUCUUUGCAUUCGCGGUCAAAUGAGCAAUCCAUUGCAAACACUAUCGUGGCACACUGGCCCUUCAGAUAAUGGACACAGACACGCCGUCUCUGCCGACAGGCGGCGGAGGAGAAAGAUAAAUGGGCAGAAGAAAGUUCACUGUGAACACAUUCAUGAAAAGAAUCUGUUCCAGACUCAAAUAUGCAAACUUUGAAACUUUUAAAUGACAAAUGUGGACAGAUGGAUAAAUCAGCGGAUUGAUGGAUGGAGCAAAAAAAUGACGAGUGUCUUCAGAGAGAAUGUUAAGGACACGUUUUAUUGGGACAACAAAUAAAUUAAGAGGCUCUUAAUUUAUCCAUGCUUGGUUUUUCUCUUUGUGCUUGUUGGCUGUGGCAUUUCAAACAAAUAUGUAACAUGGCAGCAAA